rnacentral:lncRNA from 1 species
GUAUUUAAGUUCAUAAUUACAUACUGUACAUAAAAUAUAUCAUACUGCAGAGUUGUGAUUACCUAUCUGAUUAUUUGCUAAGAGUAAUAUGACUAAUGAAUGACAAUUUGUCUUACUAUCAUGUGAUUUAUGAUGGAAAGAUUUGUGAUAGAAAGCAGAAAAGCUUAGUCUCCUUCAUCAAGAAAAAAGUUAGAAAAUCUCUAAUAUCAACAACUAGUCAUAGAAGCAGCAGGAACUUCUGCAGUUUUAGCAGGGGUGUUUCGUGCUUAGGUGGAACUGCAUCAUCCCCAAUUUUUCAUUAUAUAUAUUUAUUAUUUUAUUUAUAUUUGUUUAUAAUAAUUAAUUUUAUCAACAACAAUCCUGUACAAUUCUCUUAUUUUGUAUAAAAAAUAAUAAUAAUCCAUCUUGUAGCGCUUAGAAGAGUGA